AAGGAACUGUAAUAAACAGUGUGAACAAGUUCAGACAUUUGUUCUUGUUUCAUAAUGAUGCUUAGAAAGAGAAACUGGCUGAAAACAUUACAAGGAAUUGACCAGGUUUUAGCUUGCAAAAAGAUGAACUUUCCUUUCUGUUACAAGCAACUGAAAGUAUUAAAAAACUUCAAUUUGAAAUACUCUGCUUUCUUAGUAUUUGCAUUAAUUAAAGCUGCACCUUUUGUCUUUUAAGUACUAUUACAACAAGUCAUGGAAUGUACAAACCUUAAGUUCCUUAGAAUAAUGGUGUGAAGGGAGGAAUAAUUGCAAACUGAAGAUAAUUCAUAUUGCACAGGUACGAGGAUAAGCAAUAAUCGCAUUUUUCAUCCAUAUUAGCCAAAUGUAAUCUCUUUUUGCAACAACAGAGGAAGAUGAGUGAGAGUCUGAGUGAUGUAAUCUGAAAAGUUGACAAGAAUAAAUCUGUGUUAAGCAGAUCUUUUAAUCCUGGUAGCCUUGACAGCCGGCACAGCUGAGGAGAGCUGGGGGAAUUGCGUGCCUGUUUCUGCCUCAUCACCACCGCUGUGUCCUCAGCACAGCAGUCGGCCUUUUGCCCAGCCUGCCGAGGGACUUUCAUGGAGUCCCACGUGCUUGUUCUAGGAUCAGGUCGCCAACUUGUCUCCUUCCUAGUCGUCUGUCACUACCCAUAAUGGCAUUUUCCUGCCCACUGGUGAUAUAAAUGCAAGGAAAAGCUCCUAGGUGAGCAUCUGACACCUGCGAGUUUGUAGGACUUCUGCCAGAGGAUUUGUCCUCUGAUGGGAUUGCGGUUUUUCAGGAGGUAAGGACCAAAGUCAUUCUGUGACCCACCAGUGACAUUCUUAUGUGGGGUGUCUUCAGUGUAGAAAACCAAUUUAAAAAACAAAAUAGAGCAGCUUUUAAAGUAGCCCCUCAGCUGUAGUGUAUCUUCAAAACCCUUUAGGUGUCUGAUACUGCAGUAAGGAAUUCUGUUCUUUUUUAUUUGAUCAGGCAACAGCUAUUUUUCAACCUAUGUUAGUGAACUUAGUCACGUUUGUGUAAGUGAAUGUUUUGAGGUGUUUAUUUUGAUCAGUGUUAAACCUCAAGUAAAUCGAGCAGCACAAAUAUGUUCUGUGCCAUGUUCUGGAAGUAGGGAUUCUGGAAAAACAUCAAUAUCAUAUACUGGGGGGAGAGGGAGAAACAAAAACAGAAAAGAAAGGAGGUCCGGGAAAGUAAAUAACAGCGGUAUGUUAGAAGGCUGCAUUUAUAUUAAAGCCACCUGCAGGAGAGCAGUGCAUUUAGCAGUUCUUAGUUCUUGCAGUAGUGUCCCGCGCGACCUUGGCUGGGUGCUUGGUGGGGUGACUGAUGGUUCACCGCGCUCUUUUUUCCUGGUGACUUGCCUGUUGCCUGCCUCUGGGUCUGUGAUUCCCCUUAUGCUGACUUCUGCAGUAUUCCUUCGGUCUCUUAUCUCAGGGCUUUGAUGCAUAUGUUCUGAAGGUGGCCACUGUGACUUUGGGUGGCAGCAGAUGGUAAACCUUCAGGCUGCCACCGGCUAUACUGGUGUUAAGUUAGAAACUUAACGUUUGAUGAAGAAUCAGUAGUGCAUAUGAAAGAGCUUUUACUGCAGAAAUAUCUUUUAAUUAAAAAAAAUUAGCAUACUGAAACAUUUGCUAAUUUCCGUGCAUUUAAAAAUCCUGAAAUUAACUGUUUUCUUAAAGCCAGACUAUCGUUAUUUACCAGGCAGGUUUUAUUUUGUUUUUCUCCAAUUAAUUGUACCUUCUGCACUGAAUUUAUUUUAAUUUAUUUUCUACUAAGCUGUUGGGUACACUGUAAAUUAAAUCUAAGAAGCUAAAUGUUUUAAGUAGCUGCUGUCAGCAUCAGUAUUAAGCCUUGACUUAACCCCCCCUCCCCAGCAGAGCAAACCAAACAACAAAAACCCAAACAAACAAAAAUCUUAAAAUCACAAGUAGAAAAGUGUUGCUAUCUGCUAGUUUACUGAGAUGCUGCCAUGCAAUGUUGCAGUGUUCACCUGUGUUUUAGUAUGUGCCUGAGAACUUAACUGCUUACACAAAAUAGGGAUGAGUGGUGUAGACACUUAUUUACCAUAUACAUUUGUGGAAAUUGCUGUUUUGCUGUCAGAUUUGUUUUUUUUUUUUCCCCACACCAUUUUGAGCUCAUCAUCAAUGCACAAAAAUAGGGAAAAAAUGGGUAAGCAACAGAGCUGCAAAAGCCAGCGUGAUGUGUAGACCUUGACUGUGUUUGUACAUUAGUAUUACAAAUAGGAUUUUGCCUGGUCUCCUUUUGUGUCACAGUCUAGUUGCUCAGUGCCCAGGAAUGCCCUGCUGUGCAUUUUUCUCCCUCCCCCCUGAGAUUAGGAUGCUGCAUGUUACAGUUGACAGCUCAUUGUUAUGAGGUAUUAAAAAUUACACCUUACACAGUAGUUGUCAUCACCGAAACAGGUUCCAUCAGCUUACUGCAAGUCAGGAGCAGCCCAGUCUAGUACAGGCAUCUCAGUGUGAUCUGCUCUGGGGAAGGACAGAGCUGUGCAAUGGGGAAUGUUUUGUGGAAUCCUGUUUUGUCCCACUGUGUCGUUCUGGUGGAGGUUUGUCAUUUUGUAUUUUAAAAAGGACUCUUAGAAAAAGAAUUGCCGAUGAACUUGCAAGCAUUUCCCUUUUGCAAUGGGAAGAAAAUGUGAAGGAAUGCAAAUAGGUAAGACUUGUUGGGGUACAUGGUUGUCCAGAACCUGGCUAUGAAGAGCAAAGCAAGGAAGAUAAGUUGGCACUUGGGUCAAUGAUGGUGUUACUGUUGGGCAGCAGCCUGGAUAAUGCAUCCAAGGGCUGCAAAUGUGCUUGGGACAGUCUCCUUCCUGCUCUUUCCCCCUCCUAAAAUAUCCGUUUCCUGGUCAGUGAUUUAAUCAUUCUUGUAUUUGUUAAAUUGUUUGGAUGAAUCUGGUUAAGCCACCUUUUUGUAAUAUGCAUGCAGGCUGCCUGUCUUAGAAAUAUAUUCUUGUUUUGUAUGGGCCCCUGGAAAUUCCAUGGUCUGCCAGGGUCAAAUGCAGUAUCACUGGGCAAAAAGUUCCUUUCAUGGUUCUUGCUGGGCUGCUUGGGAUCGAUCUCCUGUGAAGUUAACGAUCUUGUAGAAAAGUAAGUAUUGAAUCAGCAAACAAAUAAUUUGCCAUUAAAUAAAGUGGAGCUGUAACUUUUCAUCACUGAGGGAAAGCUAUGAUGCUUGAUGGGAAAGCUGGUUAGUAAGACUGGUUGGUCCGUCUAGGUAGUUAACCUCAAAAGUGCGCAAACGUUAUUUGUUAUUACUGUUAUAAAACUGUGGCUGCUACUUUCAAUUUGAUGUUGUAAUAUAACAACAGAUGAAGGCAGCCCUAAAGGGACCCGUUGUCUGCUUUAUUCCCGUUAGUCGUAGUCAUUCUAUAUGUCAUCUUAUAGGGUGAGGGCUCAGUAAUCUGUUCUGUUUCACCAUAUGCUAAUACAGUGCUGAUAAGCAAGUGUGAAAAAUGAAAGGGAGGAAUACAUUAAUUGUAUUUGUGCAAUAAGGUAUGCUAUCAAAGGUAAUUAUUUCAUGACAGUUUUAGUUAUAGCAGUUGUUUUAUCAUGAAAUAAAGGAUGGCUUUAGGAGACUUUUAUUGGAAAGACAAUUGUAUCAAAUUAGUACCAAAUUAGAUUUUUGCCUUUAUAAAGGUGAGCAAACCCAUGAGCAGUUUUUAAAUUGGUGUCUUCUACUCUACAAAUGAAUGAAUCCUGUCUGAGGGUUAAAGAAGCUAUUAUUCUGUCCUUUAUGCUGACAGCUUCAUUACUGAUAGGCCUACUGUUGGUAUUAAAAAAAUGUUUGGCUCCUUAUGAUCUUUGUGCGUGCAACUAUAAUAUUAAUACAGACCACAGAACUGUUCAUUAAGAUAUGACUUUAAAUGAGGUUGAUGCUUGUAAAUCUGGAGAGAUACAGAUGUUAAAUGCUGCCAUUCCUUUUCCUAUGCAGCUGUGUGGCUAAUAAUUUCCAAGUGGCUAAAGCUCUUGUUAGCAAGAGUGCUGGUGUGUUAAGAAUGGCCCUAUAAAUAACUUUAAGAACUGAAGUUGAAGGUGCUUCUUUUAAAGACUAUUGUUAACUAAACAUUAUUGCCAAACAGAUGGAAAGCAUUCACCAGCCUGAUGUUUUUAGGUCUAAUUAUAUUAUCGCCACUCCUGGUACGGCUCAGUUGAAGAGGUGUAUCCAGAGGCCAAUUUAUAAUCAUUUAGCCAACACCUGUUUGGGAGAUAUUGACAGUCAAAGGGCACAUUUAAAAAAAAAUCACAUAUGUUCUUGUAUUUAUUGCCUCAAUGUGAACAGUGUCUAAGCACAAAUAAACUUGGGAUAAGAAGAAAGUGACAGUAAACACAUGAUAGUUUUGAACUCUUUUUUAUCUGUCUUCUUCUGGCACCUCUUGCAAAGUGGCUUUUAUUUUUUCUCUUGCUCUUUUGGUUUUCUUUAUUGUUUGUAUAUCAUUUUAAUUCUAUGCCUUUUAGUUAAGUAAGGAUAACUAAAAUCAGUUUUACAGUUACCAUUUCUUCAGCUUGUUUCUGGAAGAUCCAAUUAAGAGACCUGAAAGAUUGUUUGGAGAAACUCCGUGAUGUUGGACAUGUGCCAUUCACAUGGAAAUGACAUCUCAUUUCUUUCUCAAAAGUUGUCCCUAAUAGCAACAUCUGAUGAUAUUUUUUCACUGGAAGAUAAAGAAAGGCUUUGAAUACUAGGUGCAACCCUAGUAGAAGAGGAGGUCUUUGAGAAGGAAAAGUGGCUCUCCCUUUAUUUCUUUCAGUGAAAUUUGGUGAGAGCAAUGAUGUGGAAAGACUCCAACUCUCUUUCUCUUCCUAGAGUGAGAUGGAGAGAGAAUGAGGGCAGUGUGUGGAAUGUGGCCAUCUGAAAAAGCGGUACUUGUCUUGCUGCAGCCACAGCUUUGGGAAGGUCUGCACAGUGCUACUCUGAAACCUACCCUUGUGGUACUUAUGUACAUCUUCACCUUGCUGCAGGCACUGCACGUGAUGGCUCUUCUGGCAGAAGAGGAAGUCAGAAGGUGCAGAGAAAGUCAAUGAGUGAACUUGUUAGGCUUUACCCUACAAGGGCCCCUGGGUCCAUCACCGCCCCACAGAGUAGAAACAGGGGAGACUGAAUGCUGUAUUGUCCUUAUCCUGUCACCUGGCGAACCCAGAACCGUGUUGCUCCAACACAUCAUUCCUCUACAAGGAGUCUUUCUUGAUGAACCUCUAAGUGCAGUUGCUGCAUCUUGUCCAUUGAACAAUGAGUUUGGUAACCCCAGUGCUGGCAUUUUCAGCCCUUCAGGCUUUUAAUUUUUCUGCGUAAGUAUUUUGGUGUAACCAGAUCUGACUAUUUACACCAGGUACUUACAAUGUCUGUUGUAAAUGAGCAGUGAGUGCGUACUCUUGUUCUUGUUCUUAGAGGAGAGUUGAUCUUGUGCUUGCCCUUGUUUUUAUGGCUGUCUUGCAGCUGGUGCUUUUCAAAUACAUCCAUGUUCUUGGAGUUUACAAACAAUUCCUAAGUGUGUGUGAUUUGAAGAAAGAGGUGCAGAGAGUUCCAGCUCCCUGAAGAUAAACUUUCCAAAAUAUAUAUGUACAUAAUUCUUGGCUGUUUUGUUUUCAGCAUAUAAAUAAACAGAUCUUGCUAAGAGGCAGGACAUAGUCUAGUACUCCUGUCAUCAUUGUGUUGUACUUUCAGUAGAGGUAAUGCAGUCAUAAUAGAGAUGUUCUCUGUGGCUGUAGAUGUACUCCUUUCUGCAGCAAACCCAUCCACUUUUUUUUCCCAAAAGAAAUCCUUCUUUUGUUGUUACCUUAAUACUAGUUUACAGGGACAUGAAAGGAACUUCCUUACAGCCAUUCCUGUUGUGGUUUAUGAGUGUGGCAAAACAAAAAGGGCAGCUGAGGAAUGAGACAGGAGUGGCUGUAUGCAGUUUGAAAACUUUUGGUAUCCUACUAGCAGAAAAAGCAUCUGAUAUAUAGAAAGCUUGAUGGGGGGGAAAUACUAUAGUAUAGGUGCAGUGGGUUAGGAGAACCGAAAAUAAUACAAGUGGUGUAACAUAGGAAGCUAAUGCUAUGUGGACAUUAUUUUUGUGUUUUAUUUUGUUGUUACAGUAGCAUUUCUGUAAUUUGGAUUCUGGUAAAUUAUUUCUACAAUUAUAAAAUAGUGGUUUUCUUUUUAUCAGUUUAAGAUUCGUUCUUCAAGUUAGCUGACUGGGAAUCAGGCAACAUUCUAGCAGUUGUCUAGAGAUCCA
rnacentral:lncRNA from 1 species